GGACCUUGGAGGGGAAGUUGUAUUAGAUCUCUAUGGAGAGACAGAAACCUCUCAGAUUUCAUCAAAAAUAUCUUAAUUUGUGUUCUGAAGAUGAAUGAAGGUCUUACGGAUGUGGAACGACAUGAGGGUGGUGGAGUAUGAAUGACAAAAGUGUUCAUGGAUUUUGGGAGGUGCGGUUCUCACAGACUUCUGUUUUGCUGACUGAGUUUUGACAGUGGAUUCAGUUUUGUCCAGUGCGUGUUAGCAACUGAAAAAAUAAAAAAGGUCUUUUUGUGUGAAUACGCAGAGGGGUCUUCAUGUACUCCUGGCUUCGAGACGGAGUUGCUGGUGUUUAAAGUGCACAGAGAUCACCUUCACCAAGGAAGAAGACUAGGAAGAGGUAAGCUGUGUUCACAAAUCACUGUAAACAAAACACUGAAGCAACUUAACAUUGAGAGAUUUUGUUUAAAUAUUUGGUAACACUUUCUAUGAAGACCACGUUUAUAAUGAAUUAUAGCCCCAUUUAUACUUAUUUAUAAGUAAGUAUUACUAUUCUAAAAAUGUAUUUAUAAAGACUCAUUAAGAGCUAUACUGAAUUAUCUGUUAUAGUUACAUUUAUAUUAUUUUUAUAAUUACUUAUAAGUUAGGUAGGGUGCUGGUACUUUUAACAACACCAUUUCAGACCAUCUUCACACCUGGAGGUUGUUCCUAUGGCAUUAGCUACUGACACAGCAUAGAUCUUUCAAGA